UAAUCAAAUCAAUGGCACACUACCUGACUUCUCAACAUUCACAUCUUUACAAACAUUAGAUCUUUCUGAAAAUAAGCUAAAUGGAGAGAUUCCUAUGGACAUUCAAUUUCCACCUAAAUUGGAGACGCUCUACAUGUAUUCAAAUUCUUUAAAGGGUGUGCUGACUGACUACCACUUUGCUAAUAUGUCUAAGUUACAGAACUUGUAUUUAUCUGACAACUCAUUGGGCUUUGCAUUUACUCAAAAUUGGGUUCCAUCUUUUCAAUUGCUCUCUAUAUACUUGAGAUCUUGCCAGCUAGGUCCAACAUUUCCCACGUGGUUGCAGACACAAAAUAAAUUUGUCGAAAUUGACAUUUCAAAUGCUACAAUAUCAGGUAUUAUUCCUGAAUGGUUUUGGGCUAAAUUACCUCUACAAAAGGUGAUGAAAAUGAAUAUUUCAUACAACAGUCUACAAGGAACAAUUCCAAAUGUUUCAUCAACGUAUGUUUCUAGUUCCAUUCACCUUGGAUCAAAUCGAUUUGAAGGUUCCAUUCCUCUAUUUUUACGGAAUUCUAAAAUUCUUGAUUUAUCAAAAAAUAAAUUCUCAAAUCCUCUUUUAUUUUUGUGUGGAGGUGAUGCAAAUUCAGUUCAAAUUCAUUUAGACAUUUCGUAUAAUCAGUUAUACGGAGAUAUCCCAGAUUGUUGGAAACAAAUGAACUCACUAGUUUAUUUGGAUUUGAGUUAUAAUAACUUUUCUGGAAAAAUUCCAACUUCAAUGGGAUGGCUUCUUGGUCUUCAAGUAUUAUUGUUGAGAAACAACAAUUUAGUAGGAGGAAUCCCAUUCUCCAUAAGAAAUUGCACAAAGCUAGUAAUGUUUGAUUUGUCAGAAAACAGAUUAUCAGGAUCUAUCCCUGAUUGGAUUGGGACAAAAAAAGAGUUGCAAAUAUUAAGUCUGAGAAAGAAUCAAUUCUUUGGGAGUUUACCAUUAAUGGUUUGUUGUCUAAGAAGGCUUCAUCUCUUGGAUCUCUCACAAAACAACUUAUCUGGAAAAAUUCCUAAAUGCAUAAACAACCUUACUUCAAUGGCUCAAACAACAUCUUCAAUAUUUGAUGAAAGUCAUUGGUAUACGUUGGAAAUUGGUCUUUCUAUUACCACCAUAUUUUACUAUUUGAAUGCAUGGUUGACAUGGAAAGGUUCAAAACAAAUGUUUAUGGAUAAAGGUUUGUCACUUUUAAAAAUCAUUGAUCUCUCAAGCAAUCAGUUCUCCGAAGAAAUUCCUAUAGAAAUAGAGAAAUUAUCUGGAUUGAUUUCGUUGAACUUAUCAAGAAACAGUUUGAUUGGAAAAAUUCCUUCAAACAUUGGAAAUAUAACAUCACUUGAUUCUCUUGAUUUGUCAAGAAACCGACUUGUUGGUUCAAUUCCUCUAAGUCUUGCUCAAAUUUAUAGACUUGGUGUGUUAGAUUUGUCUCAUAACCAACUUAGUGGAGAAAUUCCUACAAGCACACAAUUACAGAGUUUCAACAAAUCUAGUUAUGAAGAUAAUCUUGAUCUUUGUGGACCACCACUUGAAAAACUAUGUAUUGAUGAGGAGCUAACAAAAAAACCAAAUGUUAAUGUUUAUAAAGAUGAAUAUUCAUUUUUUAAUAAUGAAUUUUUCAUAAGUAUGGCAAUUGGAUUUGCUCUAAGUUUUUGGAUGGUGUUUGGCUCAAUCUUAUUCAUACGUUCUUGGCGAUGGUCUUACUUCAACUUCUUGAACAACUUAGAAGAUAAUGUUCAUGUCAAAAUAGCAAUUGUUAGAGUAUUUAAGCAUGACAGAGAUUAUCAGGUAACAAUAUCAUGUGUUAUAUAACUUUGCUUUCUAUAUGUAUUAAAAAAUGCACACAUUAUACCAUAUAUUCCUUUUUCAAUAUUUCUAAAGCAUUUUAUUGAUUAAAGUAAAAUUAUCAAUUUUUUUUAAUAUUGAAUCAAUUUUUACAAUUCAAUUAGUUGCUUUUGAAAGUAAUUACGUCAAAGACAUAAGAUUUAAUGCACAAGAGCAAUUAAAUGUGUAAAUAUAACAUGUUAAGUAAUAAAAAAAUGACUUCUUGCUGGUUUAAAUGAGUGCCUUUAGUGUUUAUUUGUUUCAUGUUUUUUUAAUAAAAGUAUGCCCUGGACAACCUUUUGCAAAUUUAGAUGAAAAGUUUGCAUACUACAAAAUAAAAUAGCUAAUAAAAUAAUUGAUGUUCUUGAUAGUCUUAUAAGAAAAAAAAACAACUGUUUCUUCUGAGAUUUUCAAAGAACUAACAUUCUUUACAUUUUAUUUUUCAAUUUUCAGGCACCGGAAACGCAUCGUCUUGCACGACUCCACCUUUGAGCUUUUUGUGGUUGGAAAAGGUAAUGGUUUCAUUAAAUUAUAAACGUCAUUAAUCAUUGUUCUUGUGGUGAAAUUAAAUUGUCAUACAUAUUGUCAUACAUAUAAUAAGGAAAUGAAAAUAUAGAAUAAGUUAAGAGGUUAAAACUGAAAGGAAAGUAUUGGCAAGGAUGUGAGUGUAUGUGAAACAAACAUAGCAUAAAAUAUAGAUCCCACUCUGCACUCCAAAAUAUACAUAUUGAAUAUACGUCAAUGAUAUUUCUAAUCAAUUUAUGCAAAAAAUAUUUCAAGGUACGAAUGUAUGUUGAGUUCUAAAAUUGAUAUCUAUAUGUUAAAAACAAUCAAUAAAUUGAUCCUUUUAAAUUUAAAGAUUAUCAAUUUAGUCUUUGUCACUGUUAAUACCCUUACGAAUUCUAUUUUGGUGCUUAUAGUACAUGCAGUACAUCGCUUGAGCAUCAACUGAACCAGCCCUCACGUAUUUGAGUGAAUUGAACACGAAACGUGUUCUAUGCUGUAAUGGGAGACUCAAUUUUCAAAGUCUUUUUGUUUUAUUUGGAGAAAGUGGUAUAAGGGAUCAUCUCAUCCCACUAUAUACACAAUUAAGUCUUUUUUCUUUGUUUUUGUUUUUGUCGAAUGUAAUAUAUUGGUCAAUGCACUUAAUAAUUUUUUCUAUUGACAUCAUCGUACUAUCAAUCAACUUCUCUUUUUUAAUGACUUCUGUAAUCCACUUUUAUUAACAUUUUUAUGUUAUAUAUAAAUUCUUUUUCAACAUUUCACUAAAAAUCGUAUCUAAUACAUAGUUCAAAUUACACUAAAAAGAUCUAAAAUGUAGGUCAUAAUCGUUAAUCAUUAGAAAAAAUAUUUUUUUUAGAUACAAUAAAUUACUGAAAUGAAUUUUGAAUUCAAGAUAGAAAUUUCUGGAUAAUUGUAUUAGCUUUUAAACAUGAGAUAAUUAAAUUAGAUAUAGAGUUAAAUAUAAUUUUGGAUAUCAUGUUUACACUAAAAUACCUUAAAAAUUUGGAUAUAAUUCUUAUAUUUUUUUAUUGUUCACAUUUUAUAAUUCAAUUAAGAGAAACUAUUUUUUAUUAUAAAAAAUUGAAUUAUUGAGACUUAGUAACUUAUUUUAUUUCACUUUCUUUGUGGACUAUACAAUUAAUUGCUCUGCAAUAUGAUCUGACUUUAUGAAUACUUGAUGACUGUAACAUAUUUCAUUCCUUUACUUCUUUAUGAUUCCAAAUCUUUAGAGUGAUAGUUCUAUGUUUGAUUUGUAACACCCUCAUUUACAAGCCUGAUUUUCUAGACAUAGGAGUUGUUAUCUGCGAGUGUUAUCCAGCGAAUAAAUAUAAUAGUUUGGUUUAUUCUUGUGUUCUAUGAUGUGGUUCAAAGGUUGGAGAAAAAUCCCAAGAAUUAUUUAAGAAAGAUGACCAAAUUCAUUUACUUGAAUUGUAGAUUAAUUUAUUUUUAGAAUAAAGAGUCACUUUUAACUAGGAUUUUAAAUUUAGUAAAAGAAUUACAUUUCAUUUACUAAAUUUUAUAUUAUAUUUUGUAUGAUUAAAUCAAGUUCAAAAACAUUUAAAGUACACAAUUAAAUUUAUUUGACCUAAUCCUUAAAUAAACAUCGACUUAACAUCAAAAUAUUGGUAUUACUCAAAUUGUAACACUAUUAAAAAAGUCGACUUAAUCGACCAUAAUACAAACCAAAAUGUUAGAAAUUGAUUAUAAACUACAAUCAAAUAAAAUAUGCAUCCAACGAUUUUUCAAUUUGGUUUUAAGUAUUUCAAUGUUUAUUCAUCUACUAUUCAAACAAAGUUUACCAAUAAUUCAAUUAUAUAUUGGAUCAAAGUUAUAAAAAUCUUUAAAUUACUAGACUUUCGCUUGAUAUUUUUGGUAUUUUUCUCAUUAAAAAUGGAAUAAUAGAGGAAUCAAAAUAAAAGACAAAUGGAAAGAAUGAUAGAUGAAGAAAUUACUGAAGACAAAGGAUUUACAUAAAAGUAAAUUACAGGAAAAAGUAAAUUAUUAAGAAUAAAACAAGAAUUAGUAAAGUAAAUCAAUCAAAAGUUCACGAAUUUCUUAGUAUGUUUGAAAUUUUAUUCACACUUUUCACUCUUUGUUUACAUUGAUCUAUUUAUUUAUAUUUUUUUUCAUAUUCUAACAAUUUCUUAAUGCAAUAAAAUAAAAUAAAAAAUACAUAAAUAAUCGACCUUGUGUCAUAUGUUCUUGUUGCCUUCAUGUUUUGUAGCAAUUGUUGUGUCCUUCUCCAAUUAGCUUUAGUCUAUAUUUUGAUUAUUCUUUCUUCAUGCACUAGUGGAAAAACGCUGUUUAACGUCGGUUAUUUUGGACUUUUAACGUCUUCUUCACAACCGACGUUAAUACCGGUGAUGUUAAUGGGACGUCGAACAUCCAUAUAACCAACGUCUAUACAGACGUCAGUUAUUGCCAUGUCCGACGUCACUAAACGUCAGUGUAGGCGUAAUCCAACGGCUAAAGGCAAUAUAUAGACGUCAGAUCAAGCAAUAACUGACGUCUAAGAGCACAUAAAGACUUCAAACAUGUAACUAAUCGACGUCUAAUGUCACUAUAAACGUCGGUGUAUGCAUUAACCGACGUCUAAUAUAGUCGUUGUGUUUUAGUGCAGUUUUGUUCCUGUCCUUGGAUAGCCCAGUAGCACACACUUUAUUUGCUAGUUUCCCCCGAAAAAAAGCUUGCAUCUUUUGAAUUUCUCAUGACAUUUUAACCCAAAACCUGGGUCUUUGCUUAGUUCUAUUUUUAAUCGCAAGAGGGAAAAGUUACGGUGAAAAGAUAACAAGGCAACAACCCAUGGUCAUUUUUGGGUCGAAACGCCAUGAGAAAUCCAAAAGAUGCCGCUUUUUCUGGGAGGCAACUAGCAAAGGAAGAAUGUGGUACUACGUUACCCUAAGAGAGGAACAAAACUGCACCAAAACACAACACAAGGAAAACAAAUUUUAAUCAGUUGAACCAGAAGAUAGUCGAUGAAAGACUGAACAAAGUUUAAACGGUAACCAUAAAAAAACAUGCACCUGGGAUGCAAUGCCGCAAGAGAGAAAAAGGAGAGGAGGAAGACGAUGAUAUCAAAAACUGCAAUGCCGCGAAGAGUCUAUAGUCACCUAGACGUCGGUUAUCUAACUAAUUCGACGUCCAAAAUAACAUUUAAACUGACAUUUUGAAUGCCCAUUAGACGUCGGACUCCAGGGGAGCCGAUGUCUAGGGCGCUGAACCGAUUGACGUUUCAUUUCCUGUCAGGGAAGUAGACGAUAGUUGUGAAGGGGCGCCGACGUCUAUAAUAAUAUAGACGUCGGGGCUCUGCUAUCAGAUGUCGAAGUGCCUCUGAGUUUGGUGAACAGAAUUAAUUACAGGCACAUAGACGUCGCACACCAAAAAUUACGACGUCUAUACUUCAGAAAUUUUUGUCUUCCCGCCUUCCGAGCAGGCCAUAGACGACUGUUUUUUACUACUUGACGUCUAAGCGCCUGGGAAUCAAGUGAAGAGCAUUAAUUGCAGUCAGGUAGACGUCGGCCCCCCAUCACAACUGAUGUCAAUGGUGCAGGAAAAGACUGUCUUCUAGCCUACCUCAUUACAUUGAACGUCGGUUUAGGGCAGAACAGACGUGUACUAUAUAAUAGACGUCGUUUUUCCUUGAAACCGACAUCUAAGUUACCAACUUAUUUACGUUAAUGCCACCGUCCACUCGUCUAGAUGCACUGUUUGUGUGCCUCUUUAAGUAAAAUCUUGUUGUGUUUAGCCCUCUACUAGCUUUUAUGUAUUGUAGUGAAAAAACAUAUUGGGAACCACAUCAAAUUCAUUAUUAGAGGAUCACAGGGUUAGACUUUGUUUACAUUUCAAUUUAAGUUUUGUAAUAUUUAUAUAAACAAUAUUUUUAUGAUUUUAUUUAUUUGAAAUUAUAUAAUUUUAUAAACUUAUUUAAAGUAAUAUAUUAUUUAUAUAAUUUUUUUAUCUGAAAUGAACUCUUACUAAUUUACUAUUCGAAUUUAUGAAUUGAGUUUACGAUACUAUCAUGAGGUUGCAUAAAAUCUCAAGUUUUACAACCUUGUGUAAAAUAAUUACGUUAAGUGAAGUGGGGGAGAGAGGUCAGAGUUGCCUUGAAGUUUAGCAUGUUCAUACGCGGACAGUUAAUUGAUAAUCAUUUUUCUCUUUUUGUAGAACUUUACGUACGUUAUCGUUUUACACAUUGUGAAGACCAAUAUUUUCUUUUUGACAAAAUGUGAUGAUUGGAUUUGUUUCAAACUCUUUUUGGUGUUAAAGUGACUUUUUGACAAUGUGUUAUCGUGUUACACAUUGUGAAGACCAAUAUAUGACUUUUCUUCCAACAAAGUUAUGCAUUAGUGACAGAGAUUACACUUUAUAAAAUUUUAAGCAUUACACCACUUUCCCUUAAUCAAUUUUAUGGUUAAGUCUUUUCACCAACUCACCAUUACACUAUAAUCAUAUCAUAUAAAUCAAAGCCAUCCUGAAAUAUAAAUACACAACACAACCUUCAAAUAUCUUACUUUAAUGCUAAACAUAUUUAUAUUAGUUUGAGAUAUAUUAUAAAAGUAAAAUAAUAAAGAAAGAAAAGUAAAAUUUAAAUUUAUCAAAUAAAAACAAAAUAAAAUUAAUGAAAUUAUAAAAAAUUUAAAGCAUUACACCACUUUCCCUUCAACAAUUUUAUGGUCAAGUCUUAAGAUAGUUUUUUUUUUUUAUAAUUUUUAUGGAUAAUUUAAAUAUAAAAAGUUAAUUACAUGAUAAUUUUUUUUAUAAAAUAGUAUUUAAAUAUUCAAAUAUAACACGAAAAUAAUAACUAAUGAAAACAGAAAAGAAUAAGAAUAAAAAUGGCAAACAAUUUCGUUUAUAUUUAAUCGAACUUAAGCAAAUGUAAAAGAACAUAAAUUUAAAAUUGCAAAAAACCAAACAGAAAUAAUAAUUUUUUAACUUUGGAAAUAUUUUGUAAUUUUUGUAUUUUAUAGUUUGAUUUGUUUUAAGCAUAUAAUUCUUUUGUUAAAUAUGAAUUCAAAAGAAUGCUUGCUGUAUGUAGUCCAUUUCAGUUUCGUCAUUCAUCUAUCAUCACAUUUUCUUUGUGUGAUAAUAACACUUACUACAACAACCUUAAUGACAAUCCCAUUAGUUUUAGACUUAUUGAUGAUUGAUAUUGGUUAAAAUUCGUAAAAUAAUAGAAAAUGAUUAUUUUUUUAUGAAUUAUUGAUGGAUUAAAUUAUGUCGAUAAAAGUAAUAUUAAUUGAUAAAUAUCGUUUAUUUAUAGUUACUAACGGACAAUAUUUAUUGGUAAAUAUAGAAAGAUGUAUCUGUCAGUGAUUAUUAAGAAUAUAUGAGUUAGUAAUUUCAUAUCCAACUAAUAGAGGUCUUAAAAUAUAGUGUAGUUGUCUCCAUGGUUUUUCUAUCCCCUUCCCUUUAUUGAAACGAAAUGGAUGUCUAAAUGACAGUACUGCAAUGAAACUAUAUAAUAUAAAGCUAAACAUUACAAAUGAUUAAGUCACACAUAUUUUGAAAUAAAAUUAAAGAAACAUGUGUAUUUAUAAUGAUAGAUUUUUGUCACAAGAUAUGAAUAUCCUAUUUAGAACUAACAAGGUGAAUAUGAAGUUUAUCCAUACAAAUUUCUACUUCCUACCACUAACUUUGUAUUUAAAUUUAAAGUUUGGCAAAACAUGAGAGAUCUUCUAAUUCAAUCAUUGUCAUCAUCGUCCUCUACAAUUGUCAUUGUCAUCAUUAUUAACAUCAUUCUCACCUUCUUCUUCUUCAUCAUCAUCAUCUUUUUCUUUUUGUAUUUCUCUUUCCAAUUCUUCAAUAUCACCAUGAUAUUGUUCGUUUUGGACUAAAUCCUCAUGGGUUUGCUUUUGGUACCACUUCAAAAGGUCUCUUACAAUUGGAGCUAUUUAUGUAUAUAUAAACCCAUGACCAGUUCUUCUUUUACUUGAUGUGAGACUUUGUUUACAUCCCAACAUAAUGUUUUCCCUUCUUACCGUGAAAUCAUGAUUUUUUUUUAUCUAUCAUUAGUUUUUUUUUAAUUAACUUGGCAUUAUUAUUCUUAUUAAUUUAAAAUUUUAAGUAUAUCAACUAUAUUUUUUAAUGAAUAACAAUGAGGUUUUUUUAUUUUUAUUUUAAUGUACGUAUUUCAGAGAAGUAACAUUCUAUUUUAACUCAUCAUUUUCAUGAGUGUCUCAUUUUCAAUUUAAAAAAAUCACUUUAUAGAAAUAUAUAUAUAUAUAUAUAUAUAUAUAUAUAUAUAUAUAUAUAUAUAUUUGAUAAANNNNNNNNNNNNNNNNNNNNNNNNNNNNNNNNNNNNNNNNNNNNNNNNNNNNNNNNNNNNNNNNNNNNNNNNNNNNNNNNNNNNNNNNNNNNNNNNNNNNNNNNNNNNNNNNNNNNNNNNNNNNNNNNNNNNNNNNNNNNNNNNNNNNNNNNNNNNNNNNNNNNNNNNNNNNNNNNNNNNNNNNNNNNNNNNNNNNNNNNNNNNNNNNNNNNNNNNNNNNNNNNNNNNNNNNNNNNNNNNNNNNNNNNNNNNNNNNNNNNNNNNNNNNNNNNNNNNNNNNNNNNNNNNNNNNNNNNNNNNNNNNNNNNNNNNNNNNNNNNNNNNNNNNNNNNNNNNNNNNNNNNNNNNNNNNNNNNNNNNNNNNNNNNNNNNNNNNNNNNNNNNNNNNNNNNNNNNNNNNNNNNNNNNNNNNNNNNNNNNNNNNNNNNNNNNNNNNNNNNNAUAUAUAUAUAUAUAUAUAUAUAUAUAUAUAUAUAUAUAUUUUAUUACACUUUCUUUACAAAAAUGCAAUACGUUUUGGAUAGAAAAAGAAAAAAAAAAUUGUAAACAUAUUGAUAUUCGAUUUACAAUUAUUAUAAAGAUAAAAUAAUGAUAAAAAGUAAACCUUUAAAUUUAUAAAAUAAAAAGAAAAAGGAUAAAAGUAAUGAAAACCAGUAUCGUUAAAAAAUGGAAUAGAGUUUAGUGCAUAUGUGAUUUAAGGAAAAAUUACUAAAAAGGUCAUGCAAUCAUACAACUCUUUUGUUAUAUAUGUGUGGUUAUGGAAAGUGCUUUAACUCAACAACAGCAAUCUAGUUUUGAUACUCAAAGAAUUAUAUCCAUUAGUUUUUGUGUGUGAUGAUAGCACCCACAACAACCUCAAUGAAGAAUCCAGUUGGUUUUUUAAGAUUGAUGAUGAUGUUUGUGUUGUGUGUGGUGUCGGAGGUUAUUAAUGGUGAAGAGGAGAUUAGAUGCAUUCCAGAGGAGAGGGAAGCACUCCUCCAAUUCAAGGCUGCCAUUGUCGAUCACAACGGCAUGCUCUCAUCUUGGACCACUCCUAACUACUGCCAAUGGGAGGGGAUUCGCUGCAGCAACCUCACCUCCCAUAUUAUAAGCCUCGACCUUCAUGGAGAUGGAGAUGAACGUUAUAUGAGCGGAGAGAUCCACAAGUCGUUGAUGGAGUUGUCACAAUUACAGUAUUUGAACCUCAGUCAUAAUUAUUUUCCAGACACUCACAUCCCAGAGUUUCUUGCUUCUCUCAAAAACUUGAAAUACCUUGAUCUUUCAUCAUCUCAGUUUGAAGGAAAAAUUCCAACACAACUUGGAUCUCUUUCUCAUUUGAAAUACUUAAAUCUCGCAGAUAAUUAUUUGGAGGGUGCAAUCCCUUAUCAGUUUGGAAAUCUCUCCCAAUUGCAACAUCUUGAACUCAGUGACAAUCUUUUAGAAGGAAAUAUACCAUCUCAACUUGGAAAUCUCUCCCAAUUGCAUCAGCUCUAUCUUCAACAUUUGUAUAAUCUCAAAAUUAGUGACGGAGGUCAGUGGCUCUCAAAUCUUAUUUCUUUAACCCAUCUUUACUUGGAUUCUCUAUCAAAUCUUAAUCAUUCUCAUAUUUGGUCGCAAGUGAUUGCGAAGCUACCUCAACUAAGAGAACUAAGUUUAGUUGAUUGUAGCCUUUCCGAUCAUUUCAUUCUGUCAUCCAAACAUUCUAAGUUCAAUUUCUCUACUUCCCUCUCUGUCUUUGAUCUUUCUGGGAACACCUUCACAUCAGCAGUGAUAUUCCAAUGGGUGUCAAACAUUACUUCCAACCUUGUUCACCUUGACCUUAGUGAUAACAAUUUGACUGAAGACCUUCCCUCCAUUCUCGGUAAUUUGUCCAGAGGAUGCGUUAGACACUCAUUGCAAGAAUUGGAUUUGAGUGCUAAUUACAUCACUGGAACUUUGUCUGACAUUUCAGUAUUCUCCUCUUUGAAAUCAUUGUUUCUUGGUGCAAAUGAGUUAAGUGGAAGGAUACCUGAAGGUGUGAAGUUACCAUCCACUUUGGAGGAUUUGUUAGUUUGGUCAAAUUCAUUAGAAGGUGGAAUUCCAAAAUCAUUUGGCAAUGCAUGUUUUUUGUUAUCAUUGGACAUCUCUAAUAAUAGCUUGAGUGAUGAGCUUCCAAUGAUAAUUUCUCACUUGUCUGGAUGUGCUAGAUAUUCAUUGCAAGUAUUAUAUCUACAUGAUAAUCAAAUCAAUGGCACACUACCUGACUUCUCAACAUUCACAUCUUUAGGAAAAUUAUAUCUUCACAACAAUAAGCUAAAUGGAGAGAUUCAUAAAGACAUUCAAUUUCCACCUAAAUUGGAGGACCUCUACAUCUAUUCAAACUCUUUAAAGGGUGUGCUGACUGACUACCACUUUGCUAAUAUGUCUAUGUUACAGAAUUUGGAUUUAUCUGACAACUCAUUGGGUUUGGCAUUUACUCAAAACUGGGUUCCACAUUUUCAACUGCUAUUUAUAAACUUGAGAUCUUGUCAGCUAGGUCCAACAUUUCCCAUGUGGUUGCAGACACAAAAUAAAUUUGUCGAUAUUGACAUUUCAAAUGCUACAAUAUCAGGUAUUAUUCCUGAAUGGUUUUGGGCUAAAUUAUCUCUACAAAGAGUGAUGACAAUGAAUAUUUCGUACAACAGUCUACAAGGUACAAUUCCAAAUGUUUCAACAACGUAUGUUUCUACUUCCAUGCACCUUGGAUCAAAUCAAUUUGAAGGUUCUAUUCCUCUAUUUUUACAGAAUUCUCAAAUUCUUGAUUUAUCAAAAAAUAAAUUCUCAAAUCCUCUUUCAUUUUUGUGUGAAGAUAAUGAAUUUUCAGUUCAAACUCAUUUAGACAUUUCACAUAAUCAGUUAUCCGGAAAUAUCCCAGAUUGUUGGAAACAAAUUAAUUCACUAUUUUAUUUAGAUUUAAGCCACAAUAACUUUUCAGGAAAAAUUCCAACUUCAAUGGGAUGGCUUCUUGAUCUUCAAGUAUUAUUGUUGAGAAACAAUAAUUUAGUAGAAGGUAUCCCUUUCUCCAUAAGAAAUUGCACAGAACUAGUACUGCUUGAUUUGUCAGAAAACAAAUUAUCUGGACCUAUCCCUGAUUGGAUUGGGACAAAAAAAAAGUUGCAAAUAUUAAAUCUGGGAAACAAUCAAUUCUUUGGGAGUUUACCGUUAAUGGUUUGUUGUCUAAGAAAACUUCAUCUUUUGGAUCUUUCACUAAACAACUUAUCUGGAAAAAUUCCUAAAUGCAUAAACAACCUUACUUCAAUGGCUCAAACGACAACUUCAAUAUCUGAUGGAUGGCAAUACUAUGUGUUAAAUAUUGGUCUUUCUAGUUACAUCAGAGUAUACUAUUUGAAUAGAGUAUACCAUUUGAAUGCAUGGUUGACAUGGAAAGGUUCAAAACAAAUGUUUAUGGAUGAAGGUUUGUCACUUUUAAAAGUCAUUGAUCUCUCAAGCAAUCAUUUCUCAGAAGAAAUUCCUACAGAAAUAGAGAAAUUAGCUGGACUGAUUUCGUUGAACUUAUCAAGAAACAAUUUGAUUGGAAAAAUUCCUUCAAACAUUGGAAAUAUGACAUCACUUGAAUCUCUUGAUUUAUCAAGAAACCGACUUGUUGGUUCAAUUCCUCUAAGUCUUGCUCAAAUUUAUGGACUUGGUGUGCUAGAUUUGUCUCAAAACCAUCUUAGUGGAAAAAUUCCUACAAGCACACAAUUACAAAGUUUCCAUCAAUCUAGUUAUGAAGAUAAUCUUGAUCUUUGUGGACCACCACUUGAAAAAUUGUGUAUUGAUGGGAAGCCAACACAAAAUCCAAAUGCUAAUGUUUAUAAAGAUGAAUAUCCAUUUUUCAAUAAUGAGUUUUUCAUAAGUAUGGGAAUUGGAUUUGCUCUAAGUUUUUGGACGGUGAUUGGCUCAAUCUUAUUCAAACGUUCUUGGCAGCGGUCUUAUUUCAACUUCUUGAACAACUUAGAAGACAAUGUUCAUGUCAAAAUAGCAAUCUUUGUUAGAGUAAUUAACCGGGACAAAGAUUAACAGGUAACAAUAUUAUAUGUUUUAUAUAACUUUGCUUUCUCUAUAUUGUAUUAAAUGCAAAUUAACAUAUAUUUCUUUUUCAAUAUUUCUAUAGCAUUUUAUUGAUUAAAAUAAAAUUAUCAAAUUAUUAUUAUGUUUAAUAUGGAACCAAUUUUUACAAUUCAAUUAAUUGCUUUUGAAACUAAUUACGUCAAAGACAUAAGAUUUAAUGCAUAAGAGCAAUUAAAUGUGUAAAUAUAGCAAGUUAAGUAAUCAAGAAAAUGACUUCUUGCUCGUUUUAAUGAUGAGUGCCUUUAGUGUUUAUUUACUUCAGUUUUUUUUUAAAUAAAAUUAUGCCCUUGACAACCUUUUGCAAAUUUAGAUGAAAAGUUUGCAUGAGCAUAAAAUAAAAUGGUAACAAAAUAAUUGAUGUUCAAUACUU
rnacentral:lncRNA from 1 species